AUGAACGCUGGCGGCGUGCCUAAUACAUGCAAGUCGAGCGAACGGACGAGAAGCUUGCUUCUCUGAUGUUAGCGGCGGACGGGUGAGUAACACGUGGAUAACCUACCUAUAAGACUGGGAUAACUUCGGGAAACCGGAGCUAAUACCGGAGGAUAUUUUGAACCGCAUGGUUCAAAAGUGAAAGACGGUCUUGCUGUCACUUAUAGAUGGAUCCGCGCUGCAUUAGCUAGUUGGUAAGGUAACGGCUUACCAAGGCAACGAUGCAUAGCCGACCUGAGAGGGUGAUCGGCCACACUGGAACUGAGACACGGUCCAGACUCCUACGGGAGGCAGCAGUAGGGAAUCUUCCGCAAUGGGCGAAAGCCUGACGGAGCAACGCCGCGUGAGUGAUGAAGGUCUUCGGAUCGUAAAACUCUGUUAUUAGGGAAGAACAUAUGUGUAAGUAACUGUGCACAUCUUGACGGUACCUAAUCAGAAAGCCACGGCUAACUACGUG
rnacentral:rRNA from 1 species